rnacentral:RNase_P_RNA from 1 species
GGUGGCCGGACAGCUGCGCCGCGGAAAGGAAAAUCUGAGGGUGAGGAAAGUCCGGGCUUCAUGGAAACAAAAUACCGGAUAACGUCCGGCCGGAGAAAUCCGCGGGAAAGCGCCACAGAAAAUACCGCCGAAAAAUUUUUUCGGUAAGGGUGAAAAGGCGAGGUAAGAGCUCACCGCCGCUUUAGCAAUAAGGCGGGCUUUAGGCAAGCCCUAUUUGAUGUAAGACCAAAUGAGGAGUAUCAGGGUUGCCCCUGACGGAGCGUUUCCACUCUGUCCAAAGGUAGGUCGCUUCAGGCAAAUCGGCAACGGUUUGCUUCAGAUGAAUAGCUGUCGGUGUUAUCUUUAUCUUUUUAAGGUAAAGCAAUGACAUGUACAAAACCCGGCUUACAGGCCAC